rnacentral:misc_RNA from 1 species
AUAGUAGCGGGUAAACAUAAUCUGUUGCUGUUUGUGUAUAUCUUUCUUAUUUUUGUAGUGGGAAGCUGCUCAGUCCAGAUAUCGAAAAUGAUUCCACCAAACGCAUCGCUUGUUAAAUAUGAUAACCCAGUUUUGGUUAGUAGGAAUACAGACAAAAAGACACCAAGGGCUCGUGCAUUGAAAGUGAGUCCCACGCCGCCUACUGGCACAGGUCCUGUUCCAAAUCCACCAGCCAAACAGAAACUAGCUCCAGUUGACGCCAAGGCUGCUCAACAAACAGAUGAAAUCCUCAACUCAAUAUUACCUCCAAGAGAAUGGACGGAAAAUGGUCAGUUGUGGGUCCAGCAGGUGUCCAGUACUCCGGCCACACGACUCGAUGUGGUCAACCUUCAGGAAGAGCUUGACCGGAGACUUCAGCAGAGACAAGCAAGAGAAACAGGAAUUUGCCCGGUUAGGAGGGAACUUUACUCUCAGUGUUUUGAUGAAUUGAUUCGUCAAGUGACGAUUAACUGUGCAGAGCGGGGUUUGUUAUUGCUGCGGGUUCGUGAUGAGAUUCGGAUGACAAUCGCUGCAUACCAGACUCUCUAUGAGAGCAGUGUGGCGUUCGGAAUGAGGAAAGCACUGCAGGCUGAACAAGGAAAAGCAAACAUGGAGAAGAAGAUUUCCGAGCUGGAGCAAGAAAAGCGCGAUUUGGAGAAGAAUGUCAACGAGUUGAAAGCAAAAUGUGAACAGAUUGAAAAGCGUGCUGCGGAGCAGAGACAGGUGGAGGAGAAAAAACACACAGAAGAAAUUCAGUUCCUUAAGAGAACCAACCAACAACUUAAGACUUUCACCCGUAUGUUAAACUGAUGGAUGAAAUUGUUUACAAAUUCAAGAGUUCCAUUGUUCAUUGAAUUUUAGAAAUGCACAAAUUCUCAAAACGUUUCCUGAGACCCAGUUAGAAGGCAUCAUUGCGCCCAAGAAAUAGACAGUUGAUUAAUUGAGCCAGCUGACCGUGAAAAGACUGUUGAUAAACUAUACUAAAUAUCUGAAAAUAGAUCAACAUUUCAGAUGAUUUUGGUUUUUGUCGGCCAAUCCAUGUUUUUUUCUGUAUUGGUUUCGUGGAAAUAAAAAAUGUAAUCUGUGAUAUUUCAACUAAAACGUCACCAUUUUUAAAUAUACAUACCGUACAUUUGUUUGUUUCAUUUUCUAUAGCUUUUUUUUCUUCAAAUGUUUCAUUUCUGUUGUUUAAUUGGUUGUAAUUUGUAUAUAUUAGUAUGUGAGCAAGGCAGUUAAAUUGGGACAUUUCUUCUGUUUUUUAAAUUAUUAUUAUUAUUAUUAUUUAUUAUUAUUAUUAUUAUUAUUACUAUUAUUAUUUUAAGCAAGCAGUUACAUGUUAUCUUCUCAAUGUUAAUAUUAUCAAUUCAAAAACCUUUAAAGUCGGGGAAAAUAUUACAUGAGCUGGGACCUUUUCUAGGAUUGAAUUAUAUGAUGGGGUGGGGGCGGGGAUAGGGGUGGGGGCAGGGAUAGGGGGUGGGGGCGGGGAUAGGGGGGGGGGUGGGGGUACAUUAAAAUUGUUUUAAAACCGAGUAGCCACAAAUAUAAUUAAACAAUUUUCAGUAUUAUAAAAUACAAUAGGAUCAAAGUAUACAAUCUGUGGGGGAGGACAAUUGAUCAACAUAUGUUUACCAUUUAAAGAUUUUAUUGAUCAAUAAUAAUAUAUGCAGAUAUGAAUUAUUGUCAUAAACACUCUUUAAACAUACUUUGUGCAAGUGAUGGGAUUGUAAGUCACUGAUUUCAAGUCAACCCAACUUUGACUAAUCAAACCAAACCAAUGAUAAUACCGUAAUUUAAAAAACAAAAGAGAGAGAAAAAACAUGCCAAACAUGUGGAUCUCUAAGAUAAAAUAAAAUAAUUUGUAAACAUUGUUUACUUGUGUCAUGGACCGACAGCUGGAUUUGUUCAUGUCUACUUGUUACCAAAAUAUCAGUAGUCUAUUUUUUUAACUUUUUUUUCUUCGUUUAAAUGUACCAGUAGUUAAUUUCUGAGAAUUCACAUACAUAUAACAGGAGGGAUGGAAAGCUAUAUAUUUUAAAAUAAAUAAAUAAAAUUAAAAUUGUUUUAGGGUUUUUAAGAAAUGUUUAACAUUGAGACAGUGACAUGGUAGUCGCUAAGGCAGUGAUGUGUUUAAAGAAAGAAUCUAUGCACUGUCAUUAAAUAUUGUGUAUAAAAGCAAUAAAUUAAGUCAGUUAUACAA